UACGGGGGGGGCAAGCGUUGUUCGGAAUUACUGGGCGUAAAGGGCUCGUAGGUGGCCAACUAAGUCAGACGUGAAAUCCCCAGGCUCAACUUGGGAACUGCGUCUGAUACUGGAUGGCUUGAAUUCGGGAGAGGGAUGCAGAAUUCCAGGUGUAGCGGUGAAAUGCGUAGAUAUCUGGAGGAAUACCGGUGGCGAAGGCGGCUCUCUGGACCAGUACUGACGCUGAGGCACGAAAGCGUGGGGAGCAAACAGG
rnacentral:rRNA from 1 species